CUAGGUUAACGGGCCUCAAUCCCGUAAAAUUUUAGUUAACAACUAAAUACUCUAUCCAGCGAGCUUUAACCUA
rnacentral:tRNA from 1 species